AGUGAACGCUGGCGGUAGGCCUAACACAUGCAAGUCGAACGGCAGCACAGUAAGAGCUUGCUCUUACGGGUGGCGAGUGGCGGACGGGUGAGGAAUACAUCGGAAUCUACUUUUUCGUGGGGGAUAACGUAGGGAAACUUACGCUAAUACCGCAUACGACCUACGGGUGAAAGCAGGGGAUCUUCGGACCUUGCGCGAUUGAAUGAGCCGAUGUCGGAUUAGCUAGUUGGCGGGGUAAAGGCCCACCAAGGCGACGAUCCGUAGCUGGUCUGAGAGGAUGAUCAGCCACCCUGGAACUGAGACACGGUCCAGACCCCAACGGGGGGCAGAGGGGGGGAAUAUUGGCAAAUGGGCGAAAGCCUGACCCAGCCAUACCGGGGGGGUGAAGAAGGCCUUCGGGUUGUAAAGCCCUUUUGUUGGGAAAGAAAAGCAGCAGGUUAAAACCCCGCUGUUCGGACGGUACCCAAAGAAUAAACACCGGCGAACUUCGU
rnacentral:rRNA from 1 species